AUGCAUUCAUUCAUCUUGAGUUUCACUUUCAAAUUAUUAUCUAUGUGCUUCUUAUACAUACAGAAGGAGAUACAUGGGACUCAUACAUGUCAUAAUUAUUUUCUUCUUCCAAACAGUACGAGAUCGAGUCGCAAUUUUUGUCUCCCUAAAACUUCAUAUUUUCUCAGACUAGACAUGAAGUAUGCUUUUUUCCACAGAAAUUGA
rnacentral:lncRNA from 1 species